GUACAGACAUUGUGGAGGGAAGGAGAAGACAUUGCUGGAACUUCAUUGUUAUUACAACCUCACUAAAUCACAUGACCCCAGACUUCACCUGGACACAAGGAGCGGCUGCUGGAAGCUGACACCGGCCCGGAAGGAUGAUUCCUGUGUGUAUAAGAUCUGGUGUUACUGUGACUCGCAUUAUCUAAUAUCCUCUACAGACAUCCGUGUGCUGGGUAAGAGGCCGUAUACUGCACCACACAACAUCACACUUCUCUCCGCACUGCAUUGUACUCUACAGGGAAAGGUGUCUGGUAUACAGUAAAUG